AUUCGAGUGUUGAAGAUGGCACAACUAGUCUUGUAUCUCUCAAUAUCGUCGGGUGUGCCAAAGGACUCGUUCAAUAUUUACAAUAUAUCUUAUGGUAGAGCAUUCUCGAAACAAUGACUGAACUCAUCAUUCAUUGCUGCCAGUAUAAUACAACGAACCGUAGUUCAGUCAUUGAGCCACUUCUGAUAAGUGUCUCUGACCAUGCUACGUACAUUCGGAGCUGACUCCUCGGA
rnacentral:lncRNA from 1 species